AUACGGAGGGUGCAAGCGUUAAUCGGAAUUACUGGGCGUAAAGCGCGCGUAGGCGGUUUGAUAAGUCGGAUGUGAAAUCCCCGGGCUCAACCUGGGAAUUGCAUUCGAUACUGUCAGGCUAGAGUGUGGUGGAGGGAAGUGGAAUUUCCGGUGUAGCGGUGAAAUGCGUAGAUAUCGGGAGGAACACCAGUGGCGAAGGCGGCUUCCUGGACCAACACUGACGCUGAGGUGCGAAAGCGUGGGGAGCAAAUAGGAUUAGAAACCCCAGUAGUCC
rnacentral:rRNA from 1 species